rnacentral:tRNA from 1 species
GGAGAAGUGUCCGAGCUGGCCGAAGGAGCACGGUUGGAAACCGUGUGUACCUCACAAGGGUACCUAGGGUUCGAAUCCCUACUUCUCCGCCA